UGUCCCUGCCUGUGUGGACUUUGGCUGACACAGAGAUAGGGAAGCUCUGAGAGGACGAUGAUGACGAAGAGGCUGGUGAAUUCCUCUGGAGGUGGGCUCUAAAUACAAUGGCAAGUGUCUUCACAAGAAACACAGAGAGAGGAGAAAACGGAUAUGUGACUAAAGAGACAAAGAUUGGAGCUGUGCAGCCCUAAGCGGAGGAGUGUCUGGAACUACCAGGAGCCAGGACAGCCUGUGGAACUGCUGACAUAAAAUGACAUCCCUGCAGCCAGGGACAUCAGCCAGGGGGAGGCCGCUCAAGGUCAGUGAGCCCCUCGAAUGACUGCAUGAGGCAAGAAGACGAACACCCACAGCCCGACUCCCAGCACCUGCUCGUCGGGACUGUGAUGGAAGCAGGCUUCCUCAGCCCACUGACUGGCUGGUUCAAAGGACAGGUGACGAGUGGAGGAAUACAGCCUGACGUGAAAGGGACUUGGAGCCAGAGAGGAACAUGGCAGACCUGAGAGCAAGAAAGCUGAAACACAGAUGUUGUUGACAUGUUUCCAUGUCAACCGAGUGUCUUGGAUCCAGGUGCUGGACUGACGGUGUUUCUGCAGGAUGGUAGGGAAGCUGAUGGGACCAGCCAGGCCAGGGCAGGCCUCGCUGGCUGUUCCGUUUUUCCUGGGGUCACCUUUCAUGGAGCCUGUUUCCUCUUAGUCCACUGGUAAAUCGUUACGGAGCCACAGCUGGGCUGUGUGAGACUGUCCCGCAGGCUUCAAUAGCCUUGGACAUGAAGGAGGCUGUCAACUCCUAGGAUCAAACUUUGUUUGCUCGACUGCACCCCCAGGGGACCUCGGGCCUUCUUUCGCAGUCCUAAGCCCCUCUAGUGUGUCUGAGUGUUCUGAGGCUCCAUGGUCAGUCCAGCUAUGGAAACAGCACCCUGUCCUCUGUAAGCUGCCUUGUUAGGAGGUCCCUCACAAAGGUGUUGAACCACAGAAGUUGAGUAGAUCAGGUUUGAGUUACACAUGACCCUUUUCUUUCAGAGUGCAACCUCCUCCCACCAAAGGGGAUAACUGGUGUGGAGUCUAACAAAAGCCACCCAUGCCUUCCUCUCUCAUUGUUUUUCUCCCCUGGGGUAUAUUCUCCCCAGGUAGGCACACCACCCUUCCUUUAAGUUGUCUUCUUUUAUUUUCUACCCGCCACCCCACCCCAUUACAGCUUACCAGUUGAAGAGGCCUACUUGAAAGAAAUAUGUUUUUGCAGAGGAAUGGACCUCCAAGUACUGGCAAAUGUAGAACAACGUGAUUGCGCACGUGAGGAGGAGGGCCCGAGGGGAGGAUGUGAAGGGGCUGGCAUGGCAAGCGCCCUGGGACAGGCGAGUGGGGACAGUUAGAGAGCUGAGAUGAGAUUACUAGAGACCCAGGAGGAGGGCAGCCUAUGUGCUUCCAUGGCAACCCCGGCUUUCCUCUGAGCUGCCUCCCACAAUUAAAGUGCCUUGUAAUUGCUCUUUCAGCCAUCUCCCCCACUAAUCUAUGAGCUUCAGAGACCUAAGCUUUAAUCUCUGUAUUCCCAGAACCCAGCUUAGUUUCUGAUAUAUUACAGGUGUUCAAAACACAGAAGAGCGGCUCGCGCAAAGAUCUAGGGGCAAAACAGGCAAACUGUGGGCUGGGACAGUAAACAAAAUUGCUUGGUUUGAAAUGAUGGAUACGUGUAGGCAAAUGGCUCUUGUAAUGGGGGGGCGACCCUUUGGUAGUUCGCCUUGAGUGCUUAUAUGUUGCUUAACAGUGAGGCGGAAGCUGAAAUCAAUUUGUGGGUGUGGAUCCAACAAGAGAGCUCACGAAUUCAUUUGCAGACAUUGUGUUUCGAAUGGCUGGGUUGGGGAGAAAGGAGGAACUUGCAAGGUGUUGUUGGUAGUCAGCACGGAGAUAGGCAGGUCAGGAGCUGAAGGAGCAUUUGUGGAACAAAAGGAUGGAGCAGAGAGGGAGGGUGAGUGGGCAGGAACUAGGCUGCGGUAAGUGAGCAUCUAGAGACAUGGUGGAUUCAUUCAUUCGUUUGCUCCUUUGUCCAUUUAUUCAUAAACUCAUGGUGCUUUCCAGCAUUGGGCUGUGGCAGCGCCCUUGCUGAGGGCUCCUCUGUUUGCUGUCAGGUGGCGGCUGCAGGCACAGCACAGCCAGAGGAUGGACUGUGACUUCAGUCUGCACUGCUUCCUGUCCCAAUCCUGCCUGCAUGCUGCUCGGCCAUUUAUUUAACUUCUCUAAACCUCGCUCUCCUCCUCUGUGAGGUGGAGAUGAUGACAUAUCUGAUCGAGUUAUUGUGAGAACUGCCUGAGAUAAUGCACGGAGCUGACAAAGGCGAGCUAUCACAUGACAAACGAAUAUUUCUUAAGUACCUACCUAUGUGUUACGCCCAUUAGGAUACCCAUACAGGUAAGACCCAUCUUGCCUCUAGCACCCCAAAGACAACUUUUUUUGUGGGGGUUGGGUAUUUGUAAACUGUGCUGUGUGAUAUAAUAUGGUAAAUGGUUGAAUAGAUGGGUGACUUAGUGUCAUGGAACUCUGAGAGACAAACGGAGCGUUAAGAGAGAUGCCACAGAGGAAAUGGUAAUCAAACUGAAAAGAAAUAGACGUUGGGAAGAUGAGAGGAGGAAGAGGAAAAGGCAUUUCAGACAAGAGGAACAACUGUGCAAAAGGACAAAGGAGAACGACAUGCCUCCCUCCCGGGGCUUUAGGAGUGGACUCAGGCCCCAGGGCCUGCAUGGUAAGAAGGAAGCUCUCGAAAAAUCAACAAACUCUAGUUUUCUCCCCACCUUUGCUAAACCCCAGCUGUAUCUUCUCUAGACAACUUGUAGCUCAAACCAAGAAAAUGGAGGGAUGUCUCGCAAAAGAGGAGAGAGAAGGCGAGGGCUCUAAGACCAAAGCUUUUAUGACCGUGGUUGAUGAGCCAAUAAAGGGAGAUAAAGCACGCGUCUGCAGAGGAAGCCAGCAAAGGUCACGCAGGGUAAAAAGAGCAGAAACAAGGAGGUUCAUGUCACAUAGGUUAGGAAGGAAAUGUCUCAGGAGUGAGUUUGGACAAUUAUAACAAAUGUAAAGAGAGGUAAAAAAUGGAAGCACAUUGUUAGGGCUGCUUCUAGUGGCUUUCUGCAGCCGACUCAGGGGUUUCCAUGGUAACAGCUGUGACCACUCUAAGAGGCUGUCUCUCCAAUGUUUGUGCAUGGCUCCAGAGAUGUUUCUUCUUCCCCUGGUAUCCCCACUGUCCUCUGUACCCCAUCAGGUCCAUGGUAGAGGUAGGUCCCAAAGAGGUGGGAGCAAGAGGGCACGCAGCUCUACCCAUAGCCACCCCACAGACCAGCCACUCUCCCAGGACAGUCCUUUUCACUGAAACCUUCUGACCAUCAUGGUGUCCAUGCAGGAUGACCCUCUUCAUGAAGGACAGUUGCCUUCCAACCUGGAGUCAGCCUCAGGGAGGAAUCUGGUAAAACCAAAUUAAAACAAAAAUGAAGUCUUUCCCUGUCAUUAUUGCAGCUGGGAUUGGUCUUCAAACUACCCAUUUGUACAAUUCUCCAAAAGAUGACCUUAAAGGACUCAGACUUCAAAUAUUUAAUGACAAAUAAAUAUGG